AGGAAGUUCAGGUGAGAUAUCCAGUAAGUUUGGCCAUGACUGGACCCUUCCCACACACCAGACAGGUUUACAGCUUUUCUCCAGUGUGAAAUCUCUACAUUGAUCGUACAGAGUGAAAGCUUUCCCGCAGAACUUCAUGAACAAUACGGCUUUUCUCCUGUGUGGUCCUUUCCUUCCAUUGAGAGAAGAUCAGCUGUUAGUUGUCAGUGACUCCAGCGAGCUCCAGCGAUGCCUAAGUGAUGUUUUGCUCUUCUGGAGAAUCAGCACGACAAGCUGAAGGAUCAACCAACCCACCACUGUGAUGGAUCCUCACUCACACCUCUUUCUGUGGAACGUCACCAUUAGUAUCAUCUGAUAUAGCAGAGCUGUAGUUCUAACAUCACACAGGCAAGUUGUGACUAACUGCUACACACAAAUAUACAUGCACAAUAAAGGUUCUCUCGCCUGAAGAAUAUGUGUUCUGAAUUAAAAUGGUCUUGUGCAAUGUCAUUUUAUUGAAAUUUGAAUUUGAUAAAAGUCCCCUGUCAAGUAUUUGUUUGUCCACCUGGUGGCACAAUAGGGCAAUAAACUCAUAAUCUGAGCUUCAGCAGUGUAAUUCUUUUUACAAAGAUAAAAUAUGAUGCUGUUAUCAAAUGAAGGGAGUGAGGAUGAGUACUUAUGCAAUCAUUUAUGUUUAACUUUUUAAAAUUAAUUUUCUUUUUUUUUAAAUUUUUGUUGGGUGUCAGUUUUAAAAGACAAAGACCCCACAAGCAUUUGUGUGUUAUGUGUGGUCUGAUGGUGUAAUGGUAUGGUAUGGUGGUCUGAUGGUAAAGGGCUUGCCUCUCAACUCUGAGGUUGUUGGUUCGGUUCCUGCUUGGACGCACACUCCCUGUGCUGGGAUAUGAGUGGAGUGAGUAGUUGGAGGUGGACUCUCAGGGUUGGAACUGGAGAGUGGCAAGAGGGCAGAGUGCCGCAAUGGGUGAGUGAGGUGGGGGAGGAAAAGGUGAUGCAGGACAAAAAAAAUGAGCAGUAGUGGUAAUAUCGUGGAGCCUGUUGUUGUGCUGUCAUUCCACAGGUACAUGCCUUAGCCACCCUACCUUCCUUGGUGGUAUGCUUAUUAGUGUUUGUGGCUGUCUCCACCCACUCAGUGGUGACCACAGUCAUGUCACCCCAACCAUAUAAGUCCCCUUGUGGUCUUGUGACCAGCACUGGUCACAUGUCUUUGCCCCACGGGGGUUUAUUACAUUGCUCUGCUGCUUUUGCCGUCUCGUGCUGAUGUAGCCCGUGUCUGCUUUUGCCCUCUCACAUGGUACACAGCUGCUUUUACCUUUUCAUGCUGUCCAUGGCUGCUUUUGCCUUCUCAUACCCACACUGUCCAUGGCUGCUUUUGCCCUCUUUGUCUUUUAGCUGACAGCUGCUUUUGCCCUCUCAUACCUACACAGUCCGUGGCUGCUUUUGCCCUCUUAGUCUGCAGCUGCCAUUUCAUGCCCACGGCUACUUUCACCUUCUCACACCCACACUGUCCGUGGCUGAUUUUGCCCUCUUUGGCUUUUAGUCCACACGGGACAUUUUCUUUUCGGUGCCUUCUACAUCUCUGUUCAUAUCGGGCUGGUUGGGGUUUGAACUCAAGAUCUGCCAUCUAUCAAACCAACACUUAUCCCCUUGAACCACAUGAGCUCAUAUUGGCUUUUUGUCACAUUUGUCUAAUCAACUCUGCACCAAGAUUUUAAAUUGAAAGAAAUAAAAAUGCAAAAAAAAGCAGCAGAGUAAGAUGUAGGUUUGAUCCUAGCAUCUUACACAGCGGCAGCCACAGCUCUAACCACUACACUGUGCCUGGAUGAGAGGUGUUGCUGCUAAUUUAACUUUUGUCUUAAGCCUUAAAUUGACCUCGAGGUUAAAAAUAAGAUGAAAGAACACCAGAUUCAUAGAUUCAAACCAAGAACCUCACACGCCAGAGCCCAUAGUGUUACCCACUACACCAUUAUCAUUGCUGGUUGUGCUCUUGUAUAAUGCUCCUAUAGUAUGCUCCUGAGCUAAAGCUGCUUAAAAAUGUAGAAAGUAGAGAUUUGAACCCAGGAUCAUGCACAACAAAAUCCAUGAUGCUACUCACUACACUACAGAAAGAUGGGGUAAGAUUGCUGCUUAUUGGACUUUUGCCUUUAUUACACUGUAAAGGGCCCUAAAGAGAUGAAAAAUAUAAAUAAAAAGGUUAAGGAGCUCCAAGCUACAGAGACUUAAACCAGCCAUUUCACUUACUGGUGGCAACGACCUUAGCCGCUACACCAUUUCAGGGUACUAAUAGGUUUUGUUUGUUAGAGUGUAGUCUUAAUAAGCAGUAAGCCUGUUUAACAAAAAUAAAAUAAAAAAAAUUAAUUGAGCUAAAUAAAAUGCUUUGUGAAGCUUAAGACACAUCUUUAUAAAAUUUUUCACCUUCAGUUAAUAAAAUAAAAUAAGACAGAUUCAAACCAGGGACAUUAUAAGUCACAACCCAUCACACUAACCACUGUACCACAACAAACAUUGCAAUUUGUUGAUUUUUUUGUUGCUGAAUGUCUGAAAUCUGCCUGAAUGAAAAUGAAAGAAAGACAGAGGUUCAAACCAAGCACCUCACACACCAGAGCCAAGCCUUUAACCAUUAACCUAUUGUGUCUAUUGGUUACUCAAUGUGAUCAAGACCUAAUGAUAGCACAAAGACACAGAGAAUAAACAAAGGACCUUACACACAAGAGCCCAUGAUGCAACCCAUUACACCAUAAGCUAAAGCUUAUAAAAUGUUUAAAAAAACAGUAGAAGGCUACUCUCUACACCACAGAAAGAUGGGUGCGAGUGCUGCCUAUUAAACUUUGUCUUAAUUACCCCUUAAAUGGCCUUGAAUACAUUAUAAAGAAGAGAAGAACCUGCAAGCCACAGAGACUUGAACCAGCCAUUUCACACACCAGGGGUAAUAACCUUAACCACUAGCCUAUUAGAAUUUAGCGUCCAAGGGGUACUCCCUGUGAUCAUGACUUGAAGAUAGAAACAGAUCCACACCAGUGGCCAGUAACCACUACAGGACAAUAAGUACAGUUGAACAGCCUGUUAGACUUUUGUGUUAACUGACCUAAAGCUACAAAAAAAUAACCAGUUAACAACUACAUCACCACAAGAGAACUGAUAAAGUUGCCUGUUGGAUAUUUGUGUCCCCUGGAGCUCAACAUGAUCUUUACUUAAAGCUAGACACAGACAGAAACCAGGGACCUCACAAACAGAGCACUAACCCUUAUACCACCACAGAUGCUGUUGUUUAUUGGGCUUACUGAAAGGCUCAAAGCGAUCCUCUUUAAACCAGGUAAUACAUGAAGAGAGCUAAAUUAAAAGUUCUGUGAAAUCUAACAAACAUCUCUAUACCUUCAUGAAACUAACCUUUUCCUAGAGUGACAGCAAAGACAAGAGGGACUCAAACCACAAACCUUACGCAGCAGAGUCUGCUACACUGACCACUACACCACAGAAAGGACAGCUAGUGGAAGGACUUUGUCUUAAUAAAUGGCUGAAAGCAAAGUGUUGCCUAGAUCACACACCUGUGCUGUGUGUGUUCAAACUGUACAUUUCUGAUUAAUGAACUGAUGGAAGAUGAGAUGUUGAUGUUAUUGGUUAUGGAACUCAAACUCUGUGCCUUUGCCACCCCUGCUUUAAAGGAGCUAGUACUGUAACUUCAGCUAUGAACACGCAUGAUGUGUUAAUAUUUGACUCACUUUAAAAUGAGAUAUCUUAUUCAUGAUAGAAUGAACCAUUUAUGUUCUUAGUGAGAUGUUUAUACUCGGUUUAUUUAUCUGGUGCUAUUUAUAAGUUCACAUGUCCAAAUCCUGUUUUUCUCUACGAUUUUAGCAAAAUUGCUAAAUAGUGAAGGUGUACUCCUGCCUAUGUGUAAGUAAGAGACAGCUAUAUGAAAAACGAGCAAUGACAGUGUGAUGUAAAGCGUUAAAUUUCUACUUAUAUCAUAUCAACAUGCCAAAAAGAUUAAAGAAAAAUCUUUUAUUUUUGUUUUAAUAUGUAAAAUUAAGCUAUAACAACGGACAGCAAGGCAAACAAGCAUUUUCUAAAUACUUAAAUAAUACUUAAAAAAAUAACAUUUAUCAUGGAAUAAUACUGUUGUAAUCUCUGAAAAAACCCCAGUAAUAUUCACUUAUGAAAUUUUAACAACCAAAAUGUAAUGUUUUGCUGCAGCUUCUCUUUGAGUACAGUAAAACAGUAAAAGUACAGAAAUCUACAAAUUAAACACUGAAAAAAGAAUUGCACUAUGCAUCCCAUGGUGAAAAACAUUACUCUACAUUACAACAAACACUAGAUGACAGCACCAUUUAUUUAAUGUUUAAACAGUAACAUAGAGACAAAUCAAACCUUCAAAACAGUCAAAAUUGUAUUAAUGAUUUAUUUAGCACUGGAGCAAUCUUCACAACUCUAUUCAUCCAGAAAGAUCCGCUGAGGCGACUAAUGUCCAUAUACAAGGUUUUCUAUGGGUGUAACCUACAAUUUCACUUGUAUUAUUGUGGCUUCCGAGUCCUACAGCUCCCGGCCGGGGUCCUGGUGGAAGAAGAAAGAAGUCCGUCUAGGCUUUUAUUGUGAAGGGAUUGCACAGGAAGACAAUAAGAAAACAUCAAAUGGAAAAGAAAUACUCAAAAAAGGUUCUGAUAAAUAAAAAAAUAAAAA